GGGCGGGUGGCGAAAUUGGUAGACGCACCACACUCAAAAUGUGGCGACCAUGGUCGUAGGAGUUCGAGUCUCCUCCUGCCCA
rnacentral:tRNA from 1 species